rnacentral:rRNA from 1 species
UACGAAGGGGGCUAGCGUUGUUCGGAAUCACUGGGCGUAAAGGGUGCGCAGGCGGGUUCAUAAGUCAGGGGUGAAAUCCCGAGGCUCAACCUCGGAACUGCCUUUGAUACUGUGGAUCUUGAGUCCGGAAGAGGUGAGUGGAACUGCGAGUGUAGAGGUGAAAUUCGUAGAUAUUCGGAAGAACACCAGUGGCGAAGGCGGCUCACUGGACCGGCAUUGACGCUGAGGUGCGAAAGCUAGGGUAGCAAACGGG